AUGGAUCCCGCGCCGGCGACCCCUCGCUGGAACCUGGAGCGCCCCUACCUCACCGGACGCUUCCACCAGGAGGCGAAGGUGUCCGCGGCGUCGCAGGCGCCCGGAUCCAAGCCUUUCUCUCUCGACUCAUUCAGCCGCGGAGCUGGCGGCGGCGCUGGGAGUGUCCUCGGAUCGUACGCUGUUUCUGUGCAGGAGCUUUUAGUUAUUGAUGAUUUGCUAUCAGCUCUGGUGGGUAUUGAGGGAAGAUACAUUUCAAUUAAGAGAGUACGCGGAAAGGAGGGAUAUGUUGUCUUCCAGAUUGAUUCUUCAAUGGACCUUGCACUCCAGGAGUUGACUCGCCGAAUUUUCCCCUUAUGUGAAGAUUUCGUGCUAGCAAGUCAGUUUGUGGAGUCCAGGUCACAUUUCAAAACUGGUUUGGUUAACCAUGCUCUAGCGGCAGCUCUAAGGGCAUUCCUCCUGGAUUAUCAGGCAAUGGUUGCUCAACUGGAGCAUCAAUUCCGUCUUGGAAGGCUCUCUGUUCAAGGAUUAUGGUUCUUUUGUCAGCGGAUGAUGAGUUCAUUGAAUGCACUGGCUGUUCUAAUAGAGAAGGCUAUGUCCAAUAAUACUAGUGGUUCGGCGACACUUAAUCUACUUCAUAGUCAGGCAAAGGCGAUGGCUGGCGAUAGUGCUGUUCGGUCAUUACUGGAGAAGAUGACCGAUUGUGCAAGUGCAGCAUACCUCAGGAUGUUGGAAAGAUGGGUGUAUGAGGGUGUCAUAGAUGACCCUUAUGGUGAAUUCUUCAUUGCUGAAAACAAAUCUCUGCAGAAGGAGAGUCUGACUCAAGAUUAUGAUGCCAAAUAUUGGCAGCAACGGUACAGCCUAAAAGAUGGCAUCCCUAGUUUUCUCAAUAAUGUCGCUGCCACCAUUCUGACAACAGGAAAGUAUCUUAAUGUUAUGAGAGAAUGUGGGCACAAUGUUCAGGUUUCCCUAUCAGAAAACUCUAAGCUGACGAGCUUUGGUUCAAACCACCAAUAUCUUGAGUGCAUCAAAUCUGCUUAUGAUUUUGCAAGUGGUGAGCUCUUGACUCUAAUGAAAGAUAAGUAUGAUCUCAUUGGGAAACUGCGAUCAUUGAAGCGCUAUCUACUUCUUGACCAAGGUGAUUUUUUGGUUCAUUUUAUGGAUAUUGCCCGAGAGGAGCUUACAAAGAAACCAGAAGAUAUAUCCGUUGAAAAACUUCAGUCUCUUGUUGACAUCGCGUUGCGAAGUACAGCAGCUGCUUCCGAUCCAAGUCAUGAAGAUUUGACUUGUUGCGUUGAAAGAAGUUCCCUGCUUAAAAAACUGACAAGCCUGAAAGACUUGGACUGUGCUUACUCUUCAGACAAGCUUGCUGCAGCUGAUGUUGAUCAGCCCAUGACAUUAAACAUAACUGGCUUGGAAACGUUCUGCCUUGGCUACAAGAUUCCAUGGCCACUAUCUCUUGUAAUUUCAAGGAAGGCUUUAACAAAGUAUCAAUUGAUCUUUCGUCUAUUGUUUCACUGCAAACAUGUUAGUCGCCAAUUGUGUCAAGCGUGGCAGAUCCAACAAGGGUUCCGGUCUGUCAAGAUUCUUGGAACACCAAUUCUACGGUCAUCGAUACUUUGUCGCAGCAUGCUCAAGUUUGUAAACAGCCUUCUACAUUAUCUAACUUUUGAGGUUCUUGAACCAAACUGGCAUUCAAUGCAUGGCCGCCUUCAAACUGCAAGGAGCAUCGAUGAGGUCAUCCAGAUACACGAUUUCUUCCUCCAGAAGUGUCUAAAAGAAUGCUUGCUGUUGUUGCCUGAGCUCCUCAUGAAAGUUGAGAAGCUGAAAGCGUUAUGUCUUCAAUACGCGACUUCCAUCCAGCUCUUGAUACCAUCCAUCGAGGUCGCUGCUGCUGAGAGCAAAUCGAAAUCCGGGUCGUCGAGAGCAAGAGCCAAGAGAUCACAGGACAGAGACGAGCAACUGAAACUAGCAUCCGAGAACGUCGUGAUGUCGCAGUCAAUCCUGAAAUUCGAGUCGGAGUUCAACGCGGAGCUCCAGAGCCUCGUUCCUACGCUGAGCAAGAGCUCGCAGGCCGAACCAUACCUGACCCAUCUCGCGCAGUGCAUUCUUGGCGUCGGAAUCGACCAGUGA
rnacentral:rRNA from 1 species